rnacentral:rRNA from 1 species
AUUGAACGCUGGCGGCAUGCCUUACACAUGCAAGUCGAGCGGCAGCGCGGGGGCAACCCUGGCGGCGAGCGGCGGACGGGUGAGUAAUACAUCGGAACGUGUCCUUUCGGUGGGGGAUAACCAGUACGAAAGACUGGCUAAUACCGCAUGAGAUCUUACGAUGAAAGCGGGGACCGCAAGGCCUCGCGCGAUUGGAGCGGCCGAUGUCGGAUUAGCUAGUUGGCGGGGAAAANCCCACCAAGGCUACGAUCCGUAGCUGGUUUGAGAGAACGACCAGCCACACUGGGACUGAGACACGGCCCAGACUCCUACGGGAGGCAGCAGUGGGGAAUUUUGGACAAUGGGGCAACCCUGAUCCAGCCAUGCCGCGUGUGU